rnacentral:rRNA from 1 species
AGCGAGCGCUGGCGGCAGGCUUAACACAUGCAAGUCGAACGCCCCGCAAGGGGAGUGGCAGACGGGUGAGUAACACGUGGGAACGUACCCUUUGGUUCGGAAUAACUUGGGGAAACUCAAGCUAAUACCGGAUAAGCCCUUAUGGGGAAAGGUUUACUGCCGAAGGAUCGGCCCGCGUCUGAUUAGCUAGUUGGUGAGGUAACGGCUCACCAAGGCGACGAUCAGUAGCUGGUCUGAGAGGAUGAUCAGCCACACUGGGACUGAGACACGGCCCAGACUCCUGCGGGGGGCAGGAGUGGGGAAUAUGGGACAGGGGGGGAGGCCUUGAUCCAGCCAUGCGGCGUGGGUGAUGAAGGCUUUAGGGUUGUAAAGCUCUUUUACCGGGGACGAUAAGGACGGUACGGGGAGAAAAGGCCCCGGCUAACUUCGUGCCAGCCGCCGCAGAAA